rnacentral:rRNA from 1 species
CCCGCUCAGAAACUCAAAGGAAUUGACGGGGGCCCGCGACAAGCGGUGGAGCAUGUGGUUUAAUUCGAUGAUACGCGAGGAACCUUACCUGGGCUCAAAUGUAUGUUGACGUAUUCUGAAAGGGAUACUUCUUCGGACAAUAUACAAGGUGCUGCAUGGUUGUCGUCAGCUCGUGCCGUGAGGUGUCGGGUUAAGUCCCAUAACGAGCGCAACCCCUAUCAUUAGUUGCCAUCAGGUCAAGCUGGGGACACUAAUGAAACUGCCUACGCAAGUAGUGAGGAAGGUGGGGAUGACGUCAAAUCAGCACGGCCCUUACGUCCAGGGCUACACACGUGCUACAAUGGCCGGUACAAAGGGCAGCUACCUGGUGACAGGAUGCUAAUCUCAAAAGCCGGUCUCAGUUCGGAUUGAAGUCUGCAACUCGACUUCAUGAAGCUGGAAUCGCUAGUAAUCGCAGAUCAGCCAAGCUGCGGUGAAUACGUUCCCGGGCCUU